UACAGAGGUGGCAAGCGUUGUUCGGAAUUACUGGGCGUAAAGGGCUCGUAGGCGGCCAACUAAGUCAGACGUGAAAUCCCUCGGCUUAACCGGGGAACUGCGUCUGAGACUGGAUGGCUCGAGUGUGGGAGAGGGAUGCGGAAUUCCAGGUGUAGCGGUGAAAUGCGUAGAUAUUGGGAGGAACACCAGUGGCGAAGGCGGCUACCUGGACCGGUUCUGACGCUGAUGCGCGAAAGCGUGGGUAGCAAACAGG
rnacentral:rRNA from 1 species